GACGAACGCUGGCGGCGUGCUUAACACAUGCAAGUCGAACGGAAAGGCCCUGCUUUUGUGGGGUGCUCGAGUGGCGAACAGGUGAGUAACACGUGAGUAACCUGCCCUUGACUUUGGGAUAACUUCAGGAAACUGGGGCUAAUACCGGAUAGGAGCUCCUGCUGCAUGGUGGGGGUUGGAAAGUUUCGGCGGUUGGGGAUGGACUCGCGGCUUAUCAGCUUGUUGGUGGGGUAGUGGCUUACCAAGGCUUUGACGGGUAGCCGGCCUGAGAGGGUGACCGGCCACAUUGGGACUGAGAUACGGCCCAGACUCCUACGGGAGGCAGCAGUGGGGAAUAUUGCACUAUGGGCGGAAGCCUGAUGCAGCAACGCCGCGUGCGGGAUGACGGCCUUCGGGUUGUAAACCGCUUUCGCCUGUGACGAAGCGUGAGUGACGGUAAUGGGUAAAGAAGCACCGGCUAACUACGUG
rnacentral:rRNA from 1 species